rnacentral:lncRNA from 1 species
GCUGGGUGUCCAAGCACUGACACGCUGUUUAAUUAGCCCAAUUGGUGUAGCUUGUGUGCUGAGAUGUGGCCCAUUUACUGGCCCAAAUCAAUCCCCACUACACCUUCAGUCAAUUCUUAAAUCUUCGAUUGAUUGCAGGCACAUAGUACAUGGUUGUUAUACUUUUAUGUGGUGAUGUUUGCACCAGUUCCAUUGGUUGCAUGGG